rnacentral:rRNA from 1 species
GAUGAACGCUGGCGGCGUGCCUAAUACAUGCAAGUCGAGCGGUAAGGCCUCUUCGGAGGUACACGAGCGGCGGACGGCUGAGUAACACGUAGGAACAUACCCCAAAGUGAGGGAUAACUGCUCGAAAGAGUAGCUAAUACCGCAUGUGCUCUAAGGAGUAAAGCUUCGGCGCUUUGGGAAUGGCCUGCGCAUGAUUAGCUAGAUGGUGAGGUAAAAGCUCACCAUGGCGACGAUCAUUAGCUGGUCUGAGAGGAUGAUCAGCCACACUGGGACUGAGACACGGCCCAGACUCCUACGGGAGGCAGCAGUAGGGAAUAUUGGACAAUGGGGGCAACCCUGAUCCAGCAAUGCCGCGUGAGCGAUGAAGGCCUUAGGGUUGUAAAGCUCUCUUACCCGGGAUGAUAAUGACAGUACCGGGAGAAUAAGCCCCGGCUAACUCCGUGCCAGCCGCCGCAGUAA